rnacentral:rRNA from 1 species
UACGUAGGGUGCAAGCGUUGUCCGGAAUUAUUGGGCGUAAAGAGCUCGUAGGCGGUCUGUCGCGUCGGAUGUGAAAACCCAGGGCUCAACCCUGGGCCUGCAUUCGAUACGGGCAGACUAGAGUUCGGUAGGGGAGACUGGAAUUCCUGGUGUAGCGGUGAAAUGCGCAGAUAUCAGGAGGAACACCGGUGGCGAAGGCGGUUCUCUGGGCAUUACCUGACGCUGAGGAGCGAAAGCGUGGGGAGCAAACAGG